GACGAACGCUGGCGGCGUGCUUAACACAUGCAAGUCGAACGGAAAGGCCUGCUUUCCCUUGUGGAUUGCGGGUACUCGAGUGGCGAACGGGUGAGUAACACGUGAGUGAUCUGCCCCCAACUUGGGUAUAAGCCUGGGAAACUGGGUCUAAUUCCCGAUAGGACUGCAGGGUGGUGCCUGUGGUGGAAGACGAUUUUCUAGUGGUUGGGGAUGAGCUCGCGGCCUAUCAGCUUGUUGGUGGGGUAAUGGCCUACCAAGGCGGCGACGGGUAGCCGGCCUGAGAGGGUGGACGGCCACAUUGGGACUGAGAUACGGCCCAGACUCCUACGGGAGGCAGCAGUGGGGAAUAUUACACAAUGGGCGGAAGCCUGAUGCAGCGACGCCGCGUGGGGGAUGACGGCCUUCGGGUUGUAAACUCCUUUCGACCGCGAGGAAGCCACCUGGUUGGAAGGGUGGUGACGGUAGUGGUAGAAGAAGCACCGGCUAACUACGUG
rnacentral:rRNA from 1 species